UACGUAGGCAGCAAGCGUUGUUCGGAGUUACUGGGCGUAAAGAGUGUGUAGGUGGUCCUUUAAGAUUGGUGUGAAAUCUCCCGGCUCAACUGGGAGGGUGCGCCGAAAACUGGAGGGCUCGAGUGUGGGAGAGGAAAGCGGAAUUCCUGGUGUAGCGGUGAAAUGCGUAGAUAUCAGGAGGAACACCUGCGGUGUAGACGGCUUUCUGGACCAUUGCUGACACUGAGACACGAAAGCGUGGGUAGCAAACAGG
rnacentral:rRNA from 1 species